CAAGGGUGGCGACUUUAGAAUAGGAGAGCUGGAGAGCAGGACAAAGAAGGAGAAGAAGGGGGAGGGAGAGUGAAAGGAGUAGAAGUAAGCGCUCCGUUGACACAGCUGCCCACUGCAACCUCUGCUACGUGCCGUCCCACAGAACGACGUUCUUCGAAGGCAGCAGGCCCGCGCGAGGCUACGACGGCCUCCUCCGCGACAGCACGAGCGGCGCGCGCGUUCGACUCCCAAAAAACGUUCCGUCCCCGAGCGACGACGAUCGGGCGUGCUCGACCGAGGUUCCCGGCCCGCGAUGUUGAACUCCUCGAGGUUCGGCUGAUGGACAACACCGAGAGGCCUCAAUGAGUACGCUGCGCCCUUCCUUCAGCGGUACCUUGUUGGGGCGGCGGAACCUCGAGCGGGGCGGAGGCCGGGUGGUGGAGAGGCAGCCGGAGCUAGACAGGCGGGGCGGCGACCUAGGUGCGGCCUCGUCGGCAUAGGCGGCGGGUCUGGUGGUUGGUUCUCAACGGAGAACGGACAGGACGCCAGCCCUCCUCCUGCUGGCUCUCCUCGUGGGUAAGUAGGCGGCGGAACCUCGAGCAGGACGGAAGCCCGGCGGUGGAGAGGCAACCCGAGCUAGGCAGGCAGGGCGGCGGGUCUGGCGGUUGGUGCGCGGCGGAGAACGGAUAGGACACCAACGUCGAGCUUAUUAUUUUUGACGUCCCGGGAAAUACAUUUUUGCUUAGCAAUAAACCCUAAUCGGUGAAUUGUUAUCCUGGCGCCCAGCUUAAGAGUCUUUGUCUACCUGAAAAUACUUUGUAGCGAUGGGUUAAAAGAAAUAAUAAUCUAUUUCUAUUUCCAUUUCUAACGAAGCCAAGUUGGCGGUUGUCAUGUUACUGCCCAGCCAGGGGUACCAAUUUAUUGACCGAUAUAAAUACAAUUUUAGAAUAUAAAUGAUUAGCCUCCGUGGUUUGCUUUUAAAUUAGGCAACCUAACUGAUUACUAACUUAAUAUUGGAAGUCUACUACCCAGGUUGAGAAGGUGAUUGCACUGCUAGACCCUGAGGUAGGGUACAGGAAGGGGCAAAGGUCGCACUCCUAGUCCCUGAGGAGAGUGGGGUGGGUGCAGGAAGGGACAAAUGUUAAUUUUUUUCCUUUUGUUUGAGUAUAUUAGCAUCGGAGGAAGGAUGGACUUUUUUCCUUUGCGGUUACGUUAGACGGUAUGAAGAAGUCCAGAUGGUCAUGGG
rnacentral:rRNA from 1 species